GACGAACGCUGGCGGCGUGCUUAACACAUGCAAGUCGAACGGAAAGGUCCUGCUCUUGCGGGGUGCUCGAGUGGCGCACGGGUGAGUAACACGCGAGUAACCUGCCCCUGUCUUUGGGAUAACUUCAGGAAACUGGGGCUCAUACCGGAUAGGAGCUCCUGCUGCAUGGUGGUGGAUGGAAAGUUUCGGCGGUUGGGGCUGGACUGGCGGCUUAUCAGCUUGUUGGUGGGGUAGUGGCUUACCAAGGCUAUGACGGGUAGCCGGCCUGAGAGGGUGACCGGCCACAUUGGGACUGAGGUACGGCCCAGACUCCUACGGGAGGCAGCAGUGGGGAAUAUUGCGCAAUGGGCGGAAGCCUGAUGUAGCAACGCCGCGUGCGGGAUGACGGCCUUCGGGUUGUAAACCGCUUUCGCCUGUGACGAAGCGUGAGUGACGGUAAUGGGUAAAGAAGCACCGGCUAACUACGUG
rnacentral:rRNA from 1 species